rnacentral:precursor_RNA from 11 species
AUAGGGGAAUCUGCAGUAUGGACUGCUUCUACUUUAACAUGGAGGUGCUUUCUGUGCAUAUAAAAAGUAAGUGCUUCCAUGUUUUAGUAGAGGUGAAUCCUGAACUCACUCUCAGUUUAC